rnacentral:rRNA from 1 species
CCCUUAGAUGUCCUGGGCCGCACGCGCGCUACACUGAUGCAUGCAACGAGUUUAUAACCUUGGCCUGAAAGGUCUGGGUAAUCUUUUGAACGUGCAUCGUGAUAGGGAUAGAUUAUUACAAUUGUUAAUCUUGAACGAGGAAUUCCUAGUAAACGCGAGUCAUCAGCUCGCAUUGAUUACGUCCCUGCCCUUUGUACACACCGCCCGUCGCACCUACCGAUUGAAUGGUUCGGUGAAGAUCUCGGACUUCGAUAUUUAUUCUUUAUUGAGUUUAUAUUGUGGGAAGUUAUCUAAACCUCAUCAUUUAGAGGAAGGUGAAGUCGUAACA